CUAUACAUGACUCUGCGCAUAUCAAUAAGCGGAGGAAAAGAAACUAACAAGGAUUCCCUCAGUAACGGCGAGUGAAGCGGGAAGAGCUCAAAUUUGAAAUCUUGAAAGGUCACCUUUCACGAAUUGUAGUUUAAAGAAGUGUUUUCUGUUACGAUCGUAAUAUAAGUUCUUUGGAAUAGGACAUCACAGAGGGUGAGAAUCCCGUCUAUGAUUGCGAUUUGUAGCUUUGUGAUACACUUUCAAAGAGUCGGGUUGUUUGGGAAUGCAGCCCAAAACGGGAGGUAAAUUUCUUCUAAGGCUAAAUAUUGGCGAGAGACCGAUAGCGAACAAGUACCGUGAGGGAAAGAUGAAAAGAACUUUGAAAAGAGAGUUAAAUAGUACGUGAAAUUGUCAAAAGGGAAGCGUUUAACACCAGUGUUGUUUUCUGAAAAUCAACCUCUGUUAGCUUUAUGCAUGUUUGUUUAGACCUAAUCAGCUAUCUUGCAUGUUCUAUUGUUUGCAGUGGUGCACUUUUCAGUUUACAGGUCAACAUCAGUUUUUUUUACCGUAAAAAAGUUAAAGAAAGGUAGCUCAUGGCUCCGGUCGUGAGUGUUAUAGUCUUUUUCCUAUGCGGUAGGAGAGACUGAGGUCUGCAGUGUAGGCUAUUUGGCUAGAUACUCAGGUGCUAUGUGAUACCAUUUCAUAAACAACUUGUUGAUUAUGUUUUGUCUAUUGCAUACUCGCUUGUACUAUCAUACCUACGCUUAGGAUGUUGAGUCGUAGAGCACGCAG
rnacentral:rRNA from 1 species